rnacentral:rRNA from 1 species
ACUCCUACGGGAGGCAGCAGUAGGGAAUCUUCCACAAUGGGCGCAAGCCUGAUGGAGCAACACCGCGUGAGUGAAGAAGGGUUUCGGCUCGUAAGGCUCUGUUGUUAAAGAAGAACACGUAUGAGAGUAACUGUUCAUACGUUGACGGUAUUUAACCAGAAAGUCACGGCUAACUACGUGCCAGCAGCCGCGGUAAUACGUAGGUGGCAAGCGUUAUCCGGAUUUAUUGGGCGUAAAGAGAGUGCAGGCGGUUUUCUAAGUCUGAUGUGAAAGCCUUCGGCUUAACCGGAGAAGUGCAUCGGAAACUGGAUAACUUGAGUGCAGAAGAGGGUAGUGGAACUCCAUGUGUAGCGGUGGAAUGCGUAGAUAUAUGGAAGAACACCAGUGGCGAAGGCGGCUACCUGGUCUGCGACUGACGCUGAGACUCGAAAGCAUGGGUAGCGAACAGGAUUAGAUACCCUGGUAGGAUAGCG